GGGAGACUAAUGAUACUACCCACCUAAAAAAUCAAGGCAAACAAUCAAAGUUAUGUCCAGCAUGAAAAGUCAAAGACAAAAAUACUUCCAAUGCAGCAAAAAAGAAAGUGUGAAUGAAAAGAUAUAAUGAACCGAGCAAAGGCAAAGACCGAACAAAAGCUUCAUUUGCCCAAAAGGCGAACAGAAGCCAUACAGAACAAUAAUCGCAGUAAGUCAGAUAAGAGCCAGAUCUCACGGAUCGAGCAAUAAUCACGCACGUAAUCCAAUAAAGAAUGGAUUUUACAGAAAUCACCUUAGAGAUUUAGCCAAGAUUACUAUCGUAAAUAAAGCAAUAACUAUUUCCUAAAAAAGCCUAUAAAUACCAACUAAAUGAUGAGAAAUAGGUACGCUGACUAACUCUACAACUCUCUUUUAUUGAAAAAUUCUCUAAUUUCUCUCUGAAGAACUAAGAUCUCUGACUUGAGCAUCAAAGUAGCCUGCCAGAAGGCCACCCACCUCGUCUUUCCCUCUU
rnacentral:misc_RNA from 1 species